rnacentral:tRNA from 1 species
GAUUGCUCGCCUUGGAGGUUACUAUGUUUUGAAAACAUAUAUAAGAGGUUCGAUUCCCCUAGCAAUCU